AGUGAGAGCGGGCGUGCUCGCGAUACAGGCACUGCGGUGUAUCAGGCACACCGCAGCGAUCCCAUCGCGAGCAAGCCCGCUCCCAUA
rnacentral:antisense_RNA from 1 species